GACGAACGCUGGCGGCGUGCUUAACACAUGCAAGUCGAACGAUGAACCGGAGCUUGCUCUGGGGAUUAGUGGCGAACGGGUGAGUAACACGUGGGCAACCUGCCCCAGACACCGGGAUAACCAUUCGAAAGGAUGGCUAAUACCGGAUACGACCACUUCGGGCAUCCGAUGGUGGUGGAAAGGAUUCUGGUCUGGGAUGGGCCCGCGGCCUAUCAGCUUGUUGGUGGGGUAAUGGCCUACCAAGGCGACGACGGGUAGCCGGCCUGAGAGGGCGACCGGCCACACUGGGAUUGAGACACGGCCCAGACUCCUACGGGAGGCAGCAGUGGGGAAUAUUGCGCAAUGGGCGAAAGCCUGACGCAGCGACGCCGCGUGAGGGACGAAGGUCUUCGGAUUGUAAACCUCUUUCAGCAGGGAUGAAGCGAAAGUGACAGUACCUGCAGAAGAAGCACCGGCUAACUACGUGCCAGCCGCCGCAGUAAUAC
rnacentral:rRNA from 1 species